CAGCCGCCGCGGUAAUACGUAGGGCGCAAGCGUUAUCCGGAAUUAUUGGGCGUAAAGAGCUCGUAGGCGGUUUGUCGCGUCUGCCGUGAAAGUCCGGGGCUCAACCCCGGAUCUGCGGUGGGUACGGGCAGACUAGAGUGAUGUAGGGGAGACUGGAAUUCCUGGUGUAGCGGUGAAAUGCGCAGAUAUCAGGAGGAACACCGAUGGCGAAGGCAGGUCUCUGGGCAUUAACUGACGCUGAGGAGCGAAAGCAUGGGGAGCGAACAGGAUUAGAUACCCGGUAGUCCCUGUCUCUUAUACA
rnacentral:rRNA from 1 species